rnacentral:rRNA from 1 species
GUGGGGAAUCUUGCGCAAUGGGCGAAAGCCUGACGCAGCCAUGCCGCGUGAAUGAUGAAGGUCUUAGGAUUGUAAAAUUCUUUCACCGGGGACGAUAAUGACGGUACCCGGAGAAGAAGCCCCGGCUAACUUCGUGCCAGCAGCCGCGGUAAUACGAAGGGGGCUAGCGUUGCUCGGAAUUACUGGGCGUAAAGGGCGCGUAGGCGGACAUUUAAGUCAGGGGUGAAAUCCCGGGGCUCAACCUCGGAACUGCCUUUGAUACUGGGUGUCUUGAGUAUGAGAGAGGUGUGUGGAACUCCGAGUGUAGAGGUGAAAUUCGUAGAUAUUCGGAAGAACACCAGUGGCGAAGGCGACACACUGGCUCAUUACUGACGCUGAGGCGCGAAAGCGUGGGGAGCAAACAGGAUUAGAAACCCCGGUAGUCC